UGAUGCUGUGAUCCUCUAAUAAAUCACACCCUUUAAGGUUUGGGCAAUUUCCGCCCGAAAUUUCUACUGAGAUUUACAGAAAGUAAAUUGAAUGCUGUUCUUGAACUGUUUGGAGUACAUGCAUGGUUGGGGUCUCAUUUGAAAGCUGACAACCUGAAUUUUCACCCAGUGCAGUCAGAAUUACUCUAGGUGCUACUGGCACAGAGUAUUUCAUGUUGGAACACACUGAAUUAGGAUGAAUUUUUUUCUCGCCUACAUUUUUUCCCUAAUAAAACACCUGAAAAUCAGUGUGGCAGCACUGUAAGAGCUUGAAAACACAAUAUUGCAAAAGCCUGGGGUCUUACAUAGUUCAGGUCAAAAUUUCAGAGCAAUACUACAAGAAAUGAGUGUUUCACACAUGUAUUUGUACUGAUAUGCUCCGCCCCUGUCAAUGUUGGAUACACUCUUUAUACACUGUGCACACUCUCUACAGAAUGGUAUAAAUUCAUUUUCACUUCAUUUUCACUUCAUUUUCAUUCCAAAAACUCAUAAAGAACUCAAAAAAUCACUUCAGAUAGGCUUCAGUGUCGAUCACACAAACAGAUUGAGAGGAAUACAGAGAAACAGCAGGUGGAGCCCGGAGCUCACGAAUGAAAUAUCAUAUAAAGCCGCUGGCAGAGGCGGGAUUUAUAUUCAAGCCAUUCAGCAAGCUCAUUGGCUACCAGGCCUGUCAAUCUAACGGUUCCUCCAGCGUGAUUUGCUGAGAAACAAGUCAAUCAAGUGAUGUAAUCGAUAUCUGUCAGACUCGGCCAUGGUUGGCUAUAUCGCCGAAGUAGGCGGAAACGAGUCACCUGAUUGGUUGAAGUCCGGUUUGAAGCGGAAAAGAAGCCUCCAGUAUCCAUUUUGAAUCGCGAACAAAGGGAAUAGGACCGUGUAUGAUAAAGUUAUAAUAGAAAGAUGCAGUGAAUAUGAAACGCACAGCGCCACCACGCGCCGCGUGCACGCGCACGGAGCCGAUCGUUUUCUGGAUUUUUUACCUAUUUCGAGACAUGUUUUGGCCAAAGUAUUAUACUGGAUUGUUUCCUCUGGAUGGCUAAGCUUGGGUUCUGGCCAGUUUUUGUGGAUUAUCUUCUUUUAUGACCAGAAACGAGCGUCCAAACUGCGUCGACAGCAUCUUGAUGUGAAGCAGCUGAAAGAAGAAGAGAGAAAUAAAUACUGACACAUUUAAAGACUGACUGUCAAAGGUCCACAGCUGCAGAGUUUAGCACAAAAGUUUGUGUCACCACUCAAAGAUGAUGAAUGUGCUGUAGAGCGUCACGAUUCCCAGGAUCUUCACUGUGAUGUAGACAACAGCCCCAAAGUGUUGGUGAUCUGGAACUAGACAGCACAGUCACCUUCUCCUUAGUGGGAAUGUUUUGCUUCAGAUCAUUAUUACAUUUAUUCCUGCUGUUUGCAAACUUGUUACCUUUGAACUGAGUUCCUGAUGAAACUUGAAUAUUUUGAAGCUCAGUCUUCACCACUUUCUUCUUCAUGACAAAUUAGAAAUGUGUAAAACUGAACUAACUCAGAUGAAAUGUUUUCAGUUCCCUCUCAGAAUGAUUCAAAUAAAACUCUUGAAGUUUGUCCUUCUGCACUUCUUCUCUUCAAAGUCACAUUCAAGUGUAUUUGAACAGAAGUCAGUGUUUUACAGUCAAAUAAACACACAAAUCUAAAGAUGAUCAGAAAGAAGAACGACUGAAACAUUCAGUUCAGUUCAACAUUUACCUUCAACAGUCAGAGGAAUCUCAGCUGACAUCUGGUUACCAAGAAUGUUUGUGGCCUCACAGUGAUAAACUCCUCCAACAGUGACAUUAAACUGAUAAAAGUGUCCUUCAGCUACUUUCUUGUGUCCAUCUUUAGUUUUUAAGAACCAGGAGAAGCUGCUGAUGGGAGGAUUGGCUCUGCUGGAGCAGGUCAGGUUCACCCAGCUACCUGCUGACACCAAACCUGAUGCACUGAUGGAUGCUGAGGUUUCUUUGGGGGUGUCUGGGGGCAAGUAGUGGCGGAGUAGGGGCAUAGAUGGGGGGUCACAGCACAAAAUUAUAAUUAUAAUAAUAUUGCACGCCCCACUUUUCAGGUUUUUUUGUUAAAAAAGUUUAAAAUAUCCAAUAAAUUUCAUUCCACUUCACGAUUGUGUCCCACUUGCUGCUGAUUCUUGACAAAAAAUUAAAAUUUUAUAUCUUUAUGUUUGAAGCCUGAAAUGUGGCGAAAGGUUGAAAAGUUCAAGGGGGCCGAAUACUUUCACAAGGCACUGUAACAUGAUUGGAGAAAUAGGAAGAAGAUUUUCUAACACGAAUUGUAAAAUUAUGCAGGGUGUCAAGGCACUAAAUCCGUCAAGUACAAGUUUUUUGAGAGAGGAAGCAGUUCUGUUACUGGCUGAAGCUUAUGAUUCAAAUAUUGAGGAUCUCAAACACGAGUUACAUCAGACCAGGAGAGUACUAGACAGAAGAAAGCUGGAAAAAGAGCGUCCUACCAGUCUAAAGGAGUUCACUCAGUUUUUGGACCCAUACCAGGAUGUUUUUUAUGAGUUGUUCAGAUUGUGUAAAAUAGCGGUUGUUUUACCUGUGAGCGGUGCAUCCUGUGAGCGAAGUUUUUCUCAGGCUCAUAAAGACUUAUUUGCGGUCUACUAUGACAGAAAAGAGACUAUCGAGUUUGGCUGUACUCAGCAUUGAAUCAAAACGCACAAAAGCAUUAGAUCUAGAUAAAUUUGUGAAGCGUUUUGCUGAGCAGCAUGGACAUUCAGCUGUUAUAGGCAUGCCAACUUCAUGUGAUGCUCACUGGUAAGCCUUUACAAAGGUCUUAAAUGGUGACCUCAACAGAAUCUGCACUUUUUUCUUUUUUUUCUGUAUUUCUAUCUUUGUUUUGCCAACUGAGAAAAUCUGAUAUCACCUUUAAUAAAACCUCGUGUAAAGUUUAAAAUGUGACGCUAGUGUAAAUGGUGUAAAUCCUGCUGAACAGGAAGCAGCGUUGUUAUUAUUUUUAAUGUCUCUUUUGUAUAUGCAUUACAAAACUGUACAGAAAGGCCCUGUGUGAACUGUAUGAAGUAAAUACAACAUCAAAAUACCACUAAACACCUCAUCUAUCAAAAAAAUGUUCAAACUACAGAGGGAGAAAUGGAGAAAAUGUGUGUUCAGUUAAGAAUAAAAGUGAUGUCCAGUA